UGGAGUCGCUAGUAAUCGCGGAUCAGCAACGCCGCGGUGAAUACGUUCUCGGGCCUUGUACACACCGCCCGUCACACCAUGGGAGUCGGUAACACCCGAAGUCUGUAGCCUGACGCAAGAGGGCGCAGCCGAAGGUGGGAUUGAUGACUGGGGUGAAGUCGUAACAAGGUAUC
rnacentral:rRNA from 1 species